rnacentral:pre_miRNA from 1 species
CCAGGAAAAUGACCUAUGAAUUGACAGACUGCUUUCUAAGUUUGCCUGUCAUUUCUAUAGGCCAAUAUUCUGC